rnacentral:rRNA from 1 species
UCAUGGCUCAGGAUGAACGCUAGCGACAGGCUAACACAUGCAAGUCGAGGGGCAGCAUAAAAGUAGCAAUACUUGGUGGCGACCGGCGCACGGGUGAGUAACGCGUACUAGCCAACCUACCUAGUCAGGAGGGGAAUAACCCGGCGAAAGUCGGACUAAUACCGCAUAAAACAGGGGCACCGCAUGGUGAUAUUUGUUAAAGAAAUUCGCUGAUAGAUGGGCAUGCGUUCCAUUAGGUAGUUGGUGAGGUAACGGCUCACCAAGCCGACGAUGGAUAGGGGAACUGAGAGGUUGGUCCCCCACACUGGUACUGAGACACGGACCAGACUCCUACGGGAGGCAGCAGUGAGGAAUAUUGGUCAAUGGGCGGGAGCCUGAACCAGCCAAGUCGCGUGAAAGGAAGAAGGAUCUAUGGUUCGUAAACUUCUUUUGCAGGGGAAUAAAGUGCAGGACGUGUCCUGUUUUGUAUGUACCCUGAGAAUAAGGAUCGGCUAACUCCGUGCCAGCCGCUGC